rnacentral:lncRNA from 1 species
AGGUUGCCUGGGAGAUGACCUCUUUCGGGUCUCUUUGAAUCUCCGCUGUAGCGUCACCUGGAAGGCAGAUCUAACAGAGAACCUGGACUGUCUCCUAUCAUGAUUCCCGGGAAAUAUCGCUCUGUUUCUGGCCGGGCUGCGAACAACGUGAACUGCGGGCUUCAUCUGGUUAUUCAAACAUCAUCGCUUCCUGAAAAAAACAAAACAAAAGCUGACCGUAUGUCCUAUCAUCAAUGGGGAAGACCACCUUCGUUUGUUGAACUUUCAACACAAUUUUAUAACUCGGAUACAAAAUAUUUCUAAUCUACAGAAGUUAAUAUCGUUGGAUUUAUAUGAUAACCAGAUUGAAGAAAUUAGUGGGCUUUCGACUCUGAGAUGUCUUCGUGUCCUUCUGUUGGGGAAAAACAGAAUCAAGAAAAUCUCAAAUCUGGAGAAUCUAAAAAGCUUAGAUGUCUUGGAUCUUCAUGGAAAUCAGAUUACCAAAAUUGAAAAUAUUAAUCAUUUGUGUGAGUUGAGAGUUUUAAAUC